ensembl:snRNA Gm55032 predicted gene, 24776
GUGCUCAAUUUUGCAGCACACAUACUAAAAUUGGAAAAUAGAUUAGCAUGGCCCCUGAGCAAAGUCUUGAAUCAUUCCAUAUUUUU